rnacentral:rRNA from 1 species
AACAGGAUUAGAUACCCUGGUAGUCCACGCCGUAAACGAUGUCGAUUUGGAGGUUGUGCCCUUGAGGCGUGGCUUCCGGAGCUAACGCGUUAAAUCGACCGCCUGGGGAGUACGGCCGCAAGGUUAAAACUCAAAUGAAUUGACGGGGGCCCCCCGCACAAGCGGUGGAGCAUGUGGUUUAAUUCGAUGCAACGCGAAGAACCUUACCUGGUCUUGACAUCCACAGAACUUAGCAGAGAUGCUUUGGUGCCUUCGGGAACUGUGAGACAGGUGCUGCAUGGCUGUCGUCAGCUCGUGUUGUGAAAUGUUGGGUUAAGUCCCGCAACGAGCGCAACCCUUAUCCUUUGUUGCCAGCGGUUAGGCCGGGAACUCAAAGGAGACUGCCAGUGAUAAACUGGAGGAAGGUGGGGAUGACGUCAAGUCAUCAUG